rnacentral:rRNA from 1 species
CCUACGGGUGGCUGCAGUGGGGAAUAUUGCACAAUGGGCGCAAGCCUGAUGCAGCCAUGCCGCGUGUGUGAAGAAGGCCUUCGGGUUGUAAAGCACUUUCAGCGGGGAGGAAGGCGGUGAGGUUAAUAACCUCAUCGAUUGACGUUACCCGCAGAAGAGGCACCGGCUAACUCCGUGCCAGCAGCCGCGGUAAUACGGAGGGUGCAAGCGUUAAUCGGAAUUACUGGGCGUAAAGCGCACGCAGGCGGUCUGUCAAGUCGGAUGUGAAAUCCCCGGGCUCAACCUGGGAACUGCAUUCGAAACUGGCAGGCUAGAGUCUUGUAGAGGGGGGUAGAAUUCCAGGUGUAGCGGCGAAAUGCGUAGAGAUCUGGAGGAAUACCGGUGGCGAAGGCGGCCCCCUGGACAAAGACUGACGCUCAGGUGCGAAAGCGUGGGGAGCAAACAGGAUUAGAUACCCGAGUAGUC